rnacentral:precursor_RNA from 1 species
UUGAACAAAAUUAAAUUAAUUCAAGGAAAAUAUUUUUUUUAAUUAUGAAAAAUACAUAUUCUCUCACAAACUAAAAAUAAUUUGUUUGUUUAUCAUCUAGAUCUAACCUUUUCUGAAUUAUAAUUCCAAAGUUGAUUAUUCACAUCCCCUCAAAAUAAAUAAAAGUUUGAUUCUGUUCUCAUUCUUGUUAAUUGAUUAUUUGGCUCUAAUUUAAACCUUUUUACAAUUAUCUGUUGUAAAUAAAUUAAAUUUAAAAAAAAAUAAUUUUUUACUUUAUAAAGUGAUAAUAGAUCUUUUAUGAUAAAUAUAUAAAAUUUAUAUAUUUAAUAAAUAGAUUAAUCGUAUAUAUUUAAUUUAUAAAAUUUGAUUCUACUGUUUGAAAAAUUUUUAUUUAGAUUUAAUUUAUUGUAAAUUUAAAAUUUUUAUAUAUACAGUAAAUUUUUACAAAGAUUGAUGUGGAAAUUAAGUAAAUCAUAGUUGCUGAUUUGUAUCUUCUAUUCUUUUUUAAAUGAUUGAGAAAAGGGUAGAUUUCAGAUUUUUUUCUCAAAUAUGAAUUAUUACUCAAUGUGUUGCUACUGUUAUCACAUGAAGGGAUGGCUUAAAAAUCAAGUGUAUUUGUUGAGAAAUUUAUUUAAUUUUUUUAUAUGAAGGAAUUUAUUUGGCAGCUAUGAGAAUGGACCCAAAAGAGUUCAUUCUUUUUCUGUUUAAAAAAAAAAAAAACCAACACCAUCAUGGCACCGUAAUUAGCAGUGAUAACAGGGCAGGUUUUUGCUCUCCAAAUCGCCUGUACUACCACCCUCCGGCUAAUUCCGACGACCACCACAACCACCGCCGCCACGAGAUGUUGGAUGUUGGGGUGAGAAUAGCUGCAAGAUUCCAUUCUCAUUGCCCGCAGACUGCUGUAGAGAUUAGAGUAGGGAGAGAGAUAUAGAAAAACAGAGAUAUGGGGAGAUAUAUGGAAAACAAAGAGUCUCUCCAAGAAACAGAAGAGAGGGAU